ensembl:lncRNA
AGAAUAUAAAACGCAUACAAGGAGACGGGUGGUGGUUUAAAGGACUCCUUCAAAAAGCUACUUGUUGAGGCAAAGGUAAGCAAGAUCAAACUCCUCUGUGGAGUUUACUGAAGGACACAGAUCCAGAUGUACAAAUAAGAUUUGUGAAAUGGUGACUGUGAUGCAUACAUUUCUCUAUAAGAGGCACAGCUAUAAUCCAAAGAAUGAUCAGGAAGGGGUCUUAUGCAAACCUGAAAUGAAAGAUGAGUGAAAUGUCCUGUGGUAUUUUUUUUAACUGGCAUGAUGGACAGAUUUUGCAAACAGGCCAAGACUUCCUGUGGUGGUGGAGGACCUCCCUCUGGCUGAACGCAGUGACUGGUGUGAGGGUCAAAGCCCAGAGCUUUGAACACUUCCGAGCUACAACAUAACAGAAACCAAAAGAUUUCAGGGGGUCAGCAGAAUGAACAAAAAACAAGCUACACUUCACCAAAGUGUGGUUUUUGUCCUGGCAAAUUAGUUCAUGUCACCAAGCAUGGACUUUUUAAUAACUGGGCUGGAUUAUUUUGUAAUUUGUCAAUUUCUUCCUCCACAAUUAGAAAGAUUUGGCUGUUAUUUGCAUUUUUGUUUUUUGUUGUUGUUCGUUUUUUCUUUUUCUUUUUUUUUACAGCCAUCAUCAUUAUUAGAAUCAAUGUAGUUUAUUAAUCCCCGGGGAAAUUAUGUAAGAGACUUUACUCACUUUAAGUUUUUUUCCCCAAUACUACAGUGUUACAGCGGAAUGCGACCACUUUUGAAUUGAUGGUGACAUAGUUAUUUAACUAAAUCACAGCAUAUGUGCUGGUAAGUAAUCCUAAUUUGGUAUCUGUAGUAUAAUCACCAGUGGAAUCACAACACUCCAAUAACAAAAACAACCACCUUAGAUGAUACAAAUGAGAAAACAUCCUCUCAAACACAGUCCAUGCUUCCUGGUGAGAGUCUUCGUUCUUGUCGUCAUCCCUCAUGACGACAUCACAGGUGGAUUCUCCCUCUGUAGGAAG